AAAAUGGCGGCGUGCCUAAUACAUGCAAGUCGAACGAUGAAGCUUCUAGCUUGCUAGAAGUGGAUAGUGGCGCACGGGUGAGUAAGGUAUAGUUAAUCUGCCCUACACAAGAGGACAACAGUUGGAAACGACGCUAAUACUCUAUACUCCUGCUUAACACAAGUUGAGUAGGGAAAGUUUUUCGGUGUAGGAUGAGACUAUAUAGUAUCAGCUAGUUGGUAAGGUAAUGGCUUACCAAGGCUAUGACGCUUAACUGGUCUGAGAGGAUGAUCAGUCACACUGGAACUGAGACACGGUCCAGACUCCUACGGGAGGCAGCAGUAGGGAAUAUUGCGCAAUGGGGGAAACCCUGACGCAGCAACGCCGCGUGGAGGAUGACACUUUUCGGAGCGUAAACUCCUUUUCUUAGGGAAGAAUUCUGACGGUACCUAAGGAAUAAGCACCGGCUAACUCCGUGCCAGCAGCCGCGGUAAUACGGAGGGUGCAAGCGUUACUCGGAAUCACUGGGCGUAAAGGGCGCGUAGGCGGAUUAUCAAGUCUCUUGUGAAAUCUAUGGCUUAACCAUUAAACUGCUUGGGAAACUGAUAGUCUAGAGUGAGGGAGAGGCAGAUGGAAUUGGUGGUGUAGGGGUAAAAUCCGUAGAUAUCACCAAGAAUACCCAUUGCGAAGGCGAUCUGCUGGAACUCAACUGACGCUAAGGCGCGAAAGCGUGGGGAGCAAACAGGAUUAGAUACCCUGGUAGUCCACGCCCUAAACGAUGUACACUAGUUGUUGGGGUGCUAGUCAUCUCAGUAAUGCAGCUAACGCAUUAAGUGUACCGCCUGGGGAGUACGGUCGCAAGAUUAAAACUCAAAGGAAUAGACGGGGACCCGCACAAGCGGUGGAGCAUGUGGUUUAAUUCGAGGAUACGCGAAGAACCUUACCUGGGCUUGAUAUCCUAAGAACCUUAUAGAGAUAUGAGGGUGCUAGCUUGCUAGAACUUAGAGACAGGUGCUGCACGGCUGUCGUCAGCUCGUGUCGUGAGAUGUUGGGUUAAGUCCCGCAACAGCGCAACCCACGUAUUUAGUUGCUAACGGUUCGGCCGAGCACUCUAAAUAGACUGCCUUCGUAAGGAGAGGAAGGUGUGGACGACGUCAAGUCAUCAUGGCCCUUAUGCCCAGGGCGACACACGUGCUACAAUGGCAAUACAAUGAGACGCAAUACCGCGAGGUGGAGCAAAUCUAUAAAAUAUGUCCCAGUUCGGAUUGUUCUCUGAACUCGAGAGCAUGAAGCCGGAAUCGCUAGUAAUCGUAGAUCAGCCAUGCUACGGUGAAUACGUUCCCGGGUCUUGUACUCACCGCCCGUCACACCAUGGGAGUUGAUUUCACUCGAAGCCGGAAUACUAAACUAGUUACCGUCCACAGUGGAAUCAGCGACGGGG
rnacentral:rRNA from 1 species